UGACAACUAAAAACUCCUUGAAUCAAAAAAUUUUAAAGAAAAUUCUUGGUCAUUUUUUUAUUGUCAUCUUAAACCGAGAGAGAAUACAACAGUCAGAGCCGAGAGCAGAUGCGUUGUAGUCAGUGAAAUCAGCCUAAACAAAGCUGAAGUUGGUCUCCAAUUUGCAGCUUCUGAUUCUGCAUUUAAUGGGAAAUCUAAUAAAAACUCAACUGACAGCAAGUGAAGAAAAGGAAAUAUUAAUUUCUUUGGAAUCACUGAGGCAUGAAAUCCUUCUGAUUGCCAGACAGACUCCUACAUCCUGUGAAAGAAAGUGGUCCACAAAGACUUUGUCCCCCAAAGGACAAAGUGAAUUAUGUGUAUUUGUAAAUAUUGCUUUGUGCACUUGUGUAUCAUCCUGUGCAUUUGUGAAUACUGACACUGUUUUAGCUCCAUACUUAUGUUUCAGCCCCUUAAACAGUGCUGCCAUGGGGUGUUAGCCAUAUUGCCCGUAUUAAAGAAAAUACCACUAUCUACUUGCGCUGUACAUGUUUAAAUGCUGUUACUUUCACUCUGUCUCAUACUAAAAUUUUGUGGGGUUAGAUUUGAAACAUUUUGGUGGUCUGUGAAUACAACCAUUUGAGAAUUUGUUGUUACUAUAUUUUUUUCUCAGUAGUUAAUCUUAACCAGUAUCUUCACAGGUAUUGAAAUCUGUGGUUCUCUGCUCUUAAUUUAUUAGGUAGUAUUGGCUUAAACGUUCAGUAUUUUGUAUAAACAUCCUUGCGCUCUGUUCAGUGAAAACAAUAACUUACUGGCAGCAUGCUGCCAAACAAAUCACUCCGGUAUUGGUUUUACUAGCACAAGGCUUUAACUUGCUUGCCUUUGUUAAAUCCAGAGGCUGUAUAAUGAGCCUUUCCAAGGUUGCACCUGCUUUAGUUGGCAGGUCAGAAUCUUUUUUUCCAUGGAUGAACUGGAGCUCAUGUGAUCCCCCAGCUUUCUCUCAGGGACGCUGGCAUCAUCUUACGAAAGUGUUUUUUUUUUUUUUAUCUUUCCCUGCCUGUUGAUGAUAAAUAAGAUAGAUUUGUUUUGCUCACUAGGUAAUGAAGGUAUAUCAAUACUGGCCCAGAAGGGAGAGUCUGAUUUCUCUCUUCUCUCUUGUUUAGUUGCUGUAGUGUUAAGGAAGCCCGGGUUGCUUUAACCCUUCAGGCAGGUGCCAAGUCAUCCAUGUAACUUGUAAGCAGUGGGAAGUAUGAAGUUCCAUAACAUUUCCUGGUAAAUAGGUGCUCUGGAACACAUCAGACCAACACCAGGAGAUGACAUGGCUCCUCAAAUCAUCCCUGAUUGUGGAAGCUUCACACUGCACCUCAACCAAAUUAGGAUCUGUGCCUCCUAUCUCUUUCUCCAGACUGUGGUACCUUAAUUUCUAAACAGAAUAGAAAAUUGACUUUUAUGUGAGACAAGGACUUUGAAAAACUGUCUAGUCCUUUUUCUCCUUAGCCAUGUAAAAUGCCUCUGCUGUCUCUGCUCAGGAGUGGCUUAACACAAGGAACAGUGAGAGUCUUCUAGUUGUAGACCAUAUGGGUUACGACUAGCAGAUUUUUUCCCCUUUCCACUUAUCUUUCCUUUAAUUUGACUGAAUGCAGGCCCUCUGUUAACAGUCUGAUGUCACAGCAAUUACCUUCUGUGACUUAUCCUCUGUAAGGGUGGUGUUGGUGACAAGAGUCAAUAGUCCACAGCAUGUGUAUUCGAUUUUCAUUAAUUUUAACAUUAAUAAAAACUUGAAAUAUAA